AUUCUUAAACAGUUCUUUUGCAGGGAAAUCAAUUCUCUUUUGAAGCUUGCUUUUGACUUUUUGUCUUGCAACUAGAUGUUCCAACAACAUAUACAUUCAUCAAGCAAAGCAAUGACUGUGUUCAAGAGAGGAGCUUCAAACAACUGUGUUGUCUAAGAUCAAAGAGGGGCGAUGUUCCCUAUUUCUUUAGGAUUUAGUCUGUCAAUUCGUCCUCUAUGAAAUUCCAAUCUGGUUUAUAUUGAAGGGGUGCAUGUAAUAUGGAUGGAGAGAAACAAAAGGCAAUUUGAGAAAGUGUCAAACACUGUGGAAGCAAUAGCGAAGGAAGUGGCAAUCACCUGCAGCAUCAGAGCAACACCAAUCAUUAGCAGUGUUAGGAGGAGAGGAGAUCUCUUUGGUCUACCAAGUCAUCUGUCGAGUAGAUAUAGAAGGUGACUAUCAAAGUCAGACCAAAAGAGUGUCUCUUCCCUUUUAAAGCUCAAGUCAGCAUAUAAUGUUACUUCAAGUAAAGGUUUAUCGGGAUACUGUACAAGUUUCUUCUCUUUUCCACAACGACAACAACUGGUUGAAUCCAAUUGUACCGCUUACACCAAGAACAUCAAGAAUUUCACAACUUUUCUCUUUCUAGCAAGCUUGGCAAUGUAAUAAUAUAACUUUGUUCCGCACAAUAUGAAAUAUAUUAUGUUAUGAGUAAUAUUUAACUUGAUGGUACUGGUUCUUUUUUUUUAGUUAAACUCCUACAAAACGAAUAAGGAAGUACCUUACAAAAGUCGGACCACUUUUAUAUAACAACAUUCACCCGUGCUUUGCACGGGCUCGGGCCA